rnacentral:rRNA from 1 species
GAGACAAGAUUCCGGGCCCUACGGGGCGCAGCAGGCGCGAAACCUUUACACUGCACGCCAGUGCGAUAAGGGGAUCCCGAGUGCACCGGCAUAGAGCCUGUGCUUUUCUGAACCGUAGGGAGGUUCAGGAACAAGAGCUGGGCAAGACCGGUGCCAGCCGCCGCGGUAAUACCGGCAGCUCGAGUGAUGGCCGAUCUUAUUGGGCCUAAAGCGUCCGUAGCUGGCCUUGCAAGUCCGUCGGGAAAUCCACCCGCUCAACGGGUGGGCGUCCGGCGGAAACUGUGAGGCUUGGGACCGGGAGGCUUGAAGGGUACGUCCGGGGUAGGAGUGAAAUCCCGUAAUCCUGGACGGACCGCCGAUGGGGAAACCACUUCAAGAGAACGGAUCCGACAGUGAGGGACGAAAGCUAGGGUCUCGAACCGGAUUAGAUACCCGGGUAGUCCUAGCUGUAAACGAUGCCUGUUAGGUGUGACUCCCACUACGAGUGGGUGUUGUGCCGUAGGGAAGCCGCUAAACAGGCCGCCUGGGAAGUACGUCUGCAAGGAUGAAACUUAAAGGAAUUGGCGGGGGAGCACUACAACCGGAGGAGCCUGCGGUUUAAUUGGACUCAACGCCGGACAUCUCACCAGCAUCGACUGUGGUAAUGACGGUCAGGUUGAUGACCUUACCCGAGCCACAGAGAGGAGGUGCAUGGCCGCCGUCAGCUCGUACCGUGAGGCGUCCUGUUAAGUCAGGCAACGAGCGAGACCCGCAUCCUUACUUGCCAGCAGCACCGCGAGGUGGCUGGGGACAGUAGGGAGACCGCCGUGGCUAACACGGAGGAAGGAACGGGCAACGGUAGGUCAGUAUGCCCCGAAUAUGCUGGGCAACACGCGGGCUACAAUGGUCGAGACAAUGGGUUCCAACGCCGAGAGGCGACGGUAAUCUCAGAAACUCGAUCGUAGUUCGGAUUGUGGACUGAAACUCGUCCACAUGAAGCUGGAUUCGGUAGUAAUCGCGUUCAGAAG